GAGAGAAGAAGAAACGUCAAAGAAGAAAAGAAGAUUGCUGGAGAAGAAGAAAAAAGUUCGAAGAACGCUGGUCUUCGUCGUCGUCACGGAUAUUGAGCUCGUCGUCGUCGCCAUCUAUACUCGCCGACGUCAUCAUCGUUGACGUCUCUCAGAUCCAUCUUCGCCGGUCUCCGUCUUCACUGUAGUCACCACCACCACCGCUUGUCACCACACUGACAAUGCAGAGGAGCUUGGUGGUGGAGGAGGUAACAAAACCGCUGUGUGACUUGAAGACGUCGGAGCUCUCGUGGUAACGAGACUGCGGUGGCGAAGGAAGAAGACAAUAAUGACCUUGCGGACACGUGAUGUGGAAGAAACACACGAUGAUUUAGUUAGGUUUAGAUUUUGUUGACGACGGCUGCUAGCUUUUAUGUUUCUAGGUUUUAGAUUAGGGUUGGUUUAGAAUUAAACUCAGCCGUAACGUAUGCAUAACUCAACAAGUAUGCAUAAUUCAACUGUAAUGUAUCUGAAUGGUAUAAGUCAACCGUAACGUUCCUAUAA